UAGCACAGGCAACGGGAUCAAAUUUCCAGAGCAAGAGGGGAGCAAAAAAGAGAAAAAACCAACACAAAAAAUAGAGAGAAAAACGAGAAAAAAAAUGGACGAAGGAGAGAGAAAGAGGAGGACCAUCCGGAAAUCAUCAAGUGUCCGAU
ensembl:ncRNA F13H6.7 ncRNA